AUCUCCCUACUUUAUCAAAAUUUAAUGAUGACAUUUUUAAUUACAGGUGGUGGUGAUGAUAAGAAGGCUGAUGUAGGAGCCCCAGCAGAUGGCAAAUUCCAAUUUGUAAGUUCACACUAUCAAUCACAUGGCUUUUUUUCUUUAAACAUGCAGGCUAGUUUAAUUAACUACAAAGAAAUAGAGCUUUUCAGAAAUUGUUACGUAUCAUUGUCUGUUACCUGUAAACAAAUCCAGUAAUCAUGUUUAUAAGUGGUAAGAUUAAGAAAAGAAAUGUAUUAUCAUUUUAUACGCCUGUUUACGGGACAUAUUGUGGUUUACCGUUGUCUGUCCGUCCGUUUUCAACAUGUUGAUAGUAACUCAAAAUCUCUUUAUCCAAUUUGCAUAAAACUUUGGUGAAUUGUUAAGAUCUAUUGACGUGAGCUUCCUUUCAAUUUUUAUAAAUUUUAGAUUUUAUUUUUCUGAGUUGCAGGAUUUCUUCAAAAAAAGUGGGGAUUUUCCAGUUUUUCAGACAAAACCUCAAAACCGUCUGUCCCGCUUCAGGUUAAAGUUUUUGGGCGAGAUAGUUUUUGAUGAAGUUGCAGUCAACUUGAAACUUAAUACACAUGUUUUAUGAUAUGAUCUUUUUAAUUUUAAUGCCAAAUUAGAGAUCCCCCCCAUCCCAGUUUGAGCUGUCCUUAUAUUCUUGUGUGUUUUAUUUCAGCUUUAGAAAUAUAACAUAAAAGUAUUCUGAGUAUAGAGUUUAGAAAAUGCUUUCCUUGUCAUAUUAUUUGUAUAAAAGAUUUUAGUACAGACGUAUCAAAGGAAAACAUUGAGAGUGAUCGAUUUUUCAUAAUCAAACUUGUUAAAUUAUAAAUUCCUAUGAAUUUAUGCAGCCUGUAGUUUGUUUAUUUACUGAUUAUAAAUUGUUCUUUAUUUAUUUUUCAGAGAGGUGGAUUUGGAAGAGGAAAGCCAUCACAACCCCCACAGCAGUGAUAUGGACAUUGAACAUUUUGGGGGGAAAUAAAAAAAAAAAGAAAUAACAUACAUGUCUUUGUUUUGUUCAGUGUUUAGUUACAAACAACAAAUUUAUAGAAGUUUUCUGGGCCCCCUUCCAAGUUUUCCACAACUCCUAAAUAUUGGGACAGUUAAAUUUGUUCUUCCUCUGCAAAAGAUUGGAACAAAACUAAUUACACAUGUAGGUAUACUUAUGAAAGGCAAUACUAUGUCCCUGCCUUAAUAGAAGGGGCUUUUACCCUUGUCUGUCUCUACUAAUCUCGAAAAUUGGAUUCUGUUCUCAACUAAAUGUUUUGAAUGCAUAUUGCCACAAAACACAGAUCAAGUUUAGAUUUUGGUGGGGCCACUUUAACCGUUCUAGAGUUAAUCCCUAACAAAUAGAAAAAAAUGCUGAAUUUUUGUUUCUGUUCACCCAACUUCAGAUAGCCUUAACCAAAUGUUUUGAAACUACAGAUCAAGUUCAAAUUUUGGUGGUGUCACUUUAAAUGCUCUAGAGUUUUACCCCUUUACAAAUUGAAAUAUUGCUGAAUUUUUCGUUUCUGUUCUGUAACUUAAGUUUGCCUCAGAUGUUAAGAAUCUUAUGCUUAUACACAAUACUAAUUACCUCAAAACCUAGAUCAAGUUCAAUUUGGGUAGCGUCACUUUAUCUAUUCUGAGGUUUUGUCCCUUCAUAACACUAUAUGUUAUGCAAUCAGAGGUAUCAUCUGUGUCUCGUGCUGCUCUCAUGGACACAUUCCCCAUUUAUUUUCAACUAGAUCAUUCCUAUUUUAGAGAGAAAACAAUAAGAAGGCCUUAUUUAGAUCUACUUGAAGAUAUUGACUUGAUAUUUGUUAUAUAGAUUACACCAUGACAAGUUAUAGAUCAAGUUAACAUUUUGUUCCAGUACAAUAAGUUUUUAGCAGAUAGGGAAUUACGCAAUACUAAAGUCACAGAAUGCUUGUUCUUUAAAAGAAUAUGAUUGAUGAACCAGACUACAUUUGACAAAUUAUAAAAGAAAUUUCGAAAUUGGCAAAAUUGAAUAAUAAAAAAACAUUUUCUGAUUAAAAUCAUGUGUUUUCUGUUUAUAAGUCAAGUACUCUGUUCCAACUGGCAAAAGUGGAAUAAAACCAAUGGAUGAACUUUUCUAGAAACACUGGAAAUGCACUGCCAAACUUGUAACCUUGAAAAAUUCAAAGAAUAAAGCAGUUGUCAUAGUU
rnacentral:lncRNA from 1 species